rnacentral:rRNA from 1 species
GGGUUGUGAGGUUAAGCGACUAAGCGUACACGGUGGAUGCCCUGGCAGUCAGAGGCGAUGAAGGACGUGCUAAUCUGCGAUAAGCGUCGGUAAGGUGAUAUGAACCGUUAUAACCGGCGAUUUCCGAAUGGGGAAACCCAGUGUGAUUCGUCACACUAUCAUUAACUGAAUCCAUAGGUUAAUGAGGCGAACCGGGGGAACUGAAACAUCUAAGUACCCCGAGGAAAAGAAAUCAACCGAGAUUCCCCCAGUAGCGGCGAGCGAACGGGGAGCAGCCCAGAGCCUGAAUCAGUGUGUGUGUUAGUGGAAGCGUCUGGAAAGGCGCGCGAUACAGGGUGACAGCCCCGUACACAAAAAUGCACAUGCUGUGAGCUCGAUGAGUAGGGCGGGACACGUGGUAUCCUGUCUGAAUAUGGGGGGACCAUCCUCCAAGGCUAAAUACUCCUGACUGACCGAUAGUGAACCAGUACCGUGAGGGAAAGGCGAAAAGAACCCCGGCGAGGGGAGUGAAAAAGAACCUGAAACCGUGUACGUACAAGCAGUGGGAGCACGCUUAGGCGUGUGACUGCGUACCUUUUGUAUAAUGGGUCAGCGACUUAUAUUCUGUAGCAAGGUUAACCGAAUAGGGGAGCCGAAGGGAAACCGAGUCUUAACUGGGCGUUAAGUUGCAGGGUAUAGACCCGAAACCCGGUGAUCUAGCCAUGGGCAGGUUGAAGGUUGGGUAACACUAACUGGAGGACCGAACCGACUAAUGUUGAAAAAUUAGCGGAUGACUUGUGGCUGGGGGUGAAAGGCCAAUCAAACCGGGAGAUAGCUGGUUCUCCCCGAAAGCUAUUUAGGUAGCGCCUCGUGAAUUCAUCUCCGGGGGUAGAGCACUGUUUCGGCAAGGGGGUCAUCCCGACUUACCAACCCGAUGCAAACUGCGAAUACCGGAGAAUGUUAUCACGGGAGACACACGGCGGGUGCUAACGUCCGUCGUGAAGAGGGAAACAACCCAGACCGCCAGCUAAGGUCCCAAAGUCAUGGUUAAGUGGGAAACGAUGUGGGAAGGCCCAGACAGCCAGGAUGUUGGCUUAGAAGCAGCCAUCAUUUAAAGAAAGCGUAAUAGCUCACUGGUCGAGUCGGCCUGCGCGGAAGAUGUAACGGGGCUAAACCAUGCACCGAAGCUGCGGCAGCGACACUAUGUGUUGUUGGGUAGGGGAGCGUUCUGUAAGCCUGCGAAGGUGUGCUGUGAGGCAUGCUGGAGGUAUCAGAAGUGCGAAUGCUGACAUAAGUAACGAUAAAGCGGGUGAAAAGCCCGCUCGCCGGAAGACCAAGGGUUCCUGUCCAACGUUAAUCGGGGCAGGGUGAGUCGACCCCUAAGGCGAGGCCGAAAGGCGUAGUCGAUGGGAAACAGGUUAAUAUUCCUGUACUUGGUGUUACUGCGAAGGGGGGACGGAGAAGGCUAUGUUGGCCGGGCGACGGUUGUCCCGGUUUAAGCGUGUAGGCUGGUUUUCCAGGCAAAUCCGGAAAAUCAAGGCUGAGGCGUGAUGACGAGGCACUACGGUGCUGAAGCAACAAAUGCCCUGCUUCCAGGAAAAGCCUCUAAGCAUCAGGUAACAUCAAAUCGUACCCCAAACCGACACAGGUGGUCAGGUAGAGAAUACCAAGGCGCUUGAGAGAACUCGGGUGAAGGAACUAGGCAAAAUGGUGCCGUAACUUCGGGAGAAGGCACGCUGAUAUGUAGGUGAAGUCCCUCGCGGAUGGAGCUGAAAUCAGUCGAAGAUACCAGCUGGCUGCAACUGUUUAUUAAAAACACAGCACUGUGCAAACACGAAAGUGGACGUAUACGGUGUGACGCCUGCCCGGUGCCGGAAGGUUAAUUGAUGGGGUUAGCGCAAGCGAAGCUCUUGAUCGAAGCCCCGGUAAACGGCGGCCGUAACUAUAACGGUCCUAAGGUAGCGAAAUUCCUUGUCGGGUAAGUUCCGACCUGCACGAAUGGCGUAAUGAUGGCCAGGCUGUCUCCACCCGAGACUCAGUGAAAUUGAACUCGCUGUGAAGAUGCAGUGUACCCGCGGCAAGACGGAAAGACCCCGUGAACCUUUACUAUAGCUUGACACUGAACAUUGAGCCUUGAUGUGUAGGAUAGGUGGGAGGCUUUGAAGUGUGGACGCCAGUCUGCAUGGAGCCGACCUUGAAAUACCACCCUUUAAUGUUUGAUGUUCUAACGU